rnacentral:rRNA from 1 species
AACGAACGCUGGCGGCAGGCCUAACACAUGCAAGUCGAGCGAAGCCUUCGGGCUUAGCGGCGGACGGGUGAGUAACGCGUGGGAACGUGCCCUUUGGUACGGAAUAGCCCCGGGAAACUGGGAGUAAUACCGUAUGUGGUCGAGAGACGAAAGAUUUAUCGCCAAAGGAUCGGCCCGCGUUGGAUUAGGUAGUUGGUGGGGUAAUGGCCUACCAAGCCGACGAUCCAUAGCUGGUUUGAGAGGAUGAUCAGCCACACUGGGACUGAGACACGGCCCAGACUCCUACGGGAGGCAGCAGUGGGGAAUCUUAGACAAUGGGGGAAACCCUGAUCUAGCCAUGCCGCGUGAUCGAUGAAGGCCUUAGGGUUGUAAGGAUCUUUCAGUGGGGAAGAUAAUGACUGUACCCACAGAAGAAGCCCCGGCUAACUCCGUGCCAGCCGCCGCGGUAAACA